CUUUUAAGGGAGACCUACCCACUCAAUGUACCCAGAGCAAAUUCAAGUUGUAAGCAGGUCAUGAGUUGGUCAUCCCAGGUCGGUCGGAGAUUAGCAAGUAGGCUUUCAAACUAUUAGAAAGGUUCGAUAAUAUCAAGAGAAAGUAAGAAGCUCAGAAGUAUGGUUCAGCAACUUAGCAUUAUUUUGCGAGCUAAGACUGCUGGGUUUUAAACCAGCCAGAACCUUGAAAACUGCAUAGAGAAGCGAAUGUAUGGUAGUCAGUGAAGAGUAAACAGUGAACAGUAAUGAAAAAACUGAGAACUGAGAACUAGACACUGAACAGACACCAAUGUUUUGUGUAGAGAAGU
rnacentral:misc_RNA from 1 species